UUGUCAUGCAAAGGGACCAUCAGUAGUAGAGGCCUUGUUUCAGCCUUGGGUGGACUGUGGGGUGGUUGUGUGUCUGGACAUCUUUCACUGGAUCCCCUGGUUUGACGCAGCCAUCUGUACAGAGUCUCAUGCAAAGUACUCUGCAUUUAAGUCUGCACUAGCUGGGGCGCUGCUGCCUUAAAACGGUGAAGACCUCGAGCUGCUUAUAAGGGUCGCCAGAGCAAAGGACCCAGUAACAAUGCAGUCUGGAUCCGAAGUUGUCUUCCUGUACAUUUCCAGGGAGCAGUUAAAACAGCAUGUGUGGAGGGUCACACUGACACCUCGGGAAACAUUUUGGAUCAUCCAUUUGGUUAUUGAGGAGCUGAAAGUUCCAGCUGGGCUGGAUGAGGGUGGAGUGAGUCUCUUCAAAACACCUGGGCUCCCUGUUGAGAUGUGGGCAGCACAGCAGUGACACCUGGAGUGCAUUCAGGACCCAGCAGACACAAACAUGUACAGGGUGGCUACCACAAGAAAAAACAACGUGAAUGUUUCUGAUUACAAAUGUCUGCGUGGAAGCAACAGCCUGGAAGGUUUUCAUGAAUUACUUCCUAACAUGAUUCCAGGUCCUCACUGAUAAGUGGCAUUGCAAGGUGGAAGGAGGAGCUCAGAUGCUGUAUUUGGUGGUAAAUGAUUUACUCUGCAGCGCUGAUCAGUCGCCUCAACACUCGCUGUCAGCAGCUGUUUGGAGAACCUGUAGAAGUAAACAUCUGUGGCCCAGCUGAUCUCACAUUCACUGAAUUAUUCAGACUGGAGUACGUGUUUAGCCAGAGCAGAGGAGACUGUAAUUUUCUCUCUGUAGGACAUCGUCAGUGAUGGACCUGGUCCUGGGGAGGAGGUGGUUCAGCCUGAGCAACCCGAGCCAGAUGAUCCCGGUGAAACAUUGCUGAGUGACGACGAGGCAUGUGACACUGUGCUGGAUGCUGUCCUUCCCCACAUUACACUCACCAGUGAUAACCUCCACAGUUCACCCUCCAGCCUGUGUGAGUAGCUAGGUUUACUUUUCAUAUGAGGGACAAAGUUUGUACAUUAAAGCAAGGAUUAAGAGAUGCACUGCUUGUCUGAAAACAAAUACAAUUGUUUAUAUAUUUACCGACCAAGUUUGUAUGGGAUUCAUUUUACAGGAAGAUGCCUGUAGUACAAAAGCCAUCCUGGAUUUGAAAAGCUGGACAUGUUCUGCUCUGUGUUUGUGGAGAUUAGCCUGAUAGAGGACAAAUUAUCACUUACCACUGAGCAGAGGAACAAGGUCCUUCAGUGUGGAGGGGCAUGACAAGCAGCCACAAUAGUUUAACCAGCUGUACAAGACCCACAGGGACAACACCCUCUACUGCUACACUGACAGGGAUGACCUCGUUGAUGCUGCUC